AAUACCAAGGCGCUUGAGAGAACGAUGUUGAAGGAACUCGGCAAAAUACCUCCGUAAGUUCGCGAGAAGGAGGCCCGGGUUCAAGGCAACUUGGAUCCGGGGGCACAAACCAGGGGGUGGCGACUGUUUAUUAAAAACACAGGGCUCUGCGAAGCCGCAAGGCGACGUAUAGGGUCUGACGCCUGCCCGGUGCCUGAAGGUUAAAAGGAGGGGUGAGAGCUCCGAAUUGAAGCCCAGGUAAACGGCGGCCGUAACAAUAA
rnacentral:rRNA from 1 species